rnacentral:lncRNA from 1 species
GGCUAGGGGUCUAAUCGGAGCUGUAGCCACCGGCCUACACCAGAGCCACAGCAACGUGGGAUCCGAGCCUCGUCUGCAUCCUACACCACAGCUCAUGGCAACGCUGGAUCCUUAACCCACUGAGCAAGGCCAGGGAUCGAACCCGCAACCUCAUGGUUCCUAGUCGGAUUCGUUAACCACUGUGCCACGACGGGAACUCCUAUCCUAUAAGUUUUGAAUGUUCUUCCCUCUUCCCCAGAUUGUCAUAUGGCCAGUUCCUUCUUCUCAGCUUUCUGGGUCUUGGGAAGGCCUUCUGUAAACACCUAAUCUAAUAUAGUGCCUUGUCAUAUCACAUUAUUUGUCACAUCAUUCUGUUAUUUUCACCAUAGCACUUGCCACUGCCCAGCAGUGUUUUGUUGGUUUCGUGUUUUGUUCCCCCUCUCCCCACCAUUAGAGUAGGGAUCUUGUCUCUUAUUUGGUGCUGUGUCCCAGGGCGGUGCUUAGAACAGCUAAUUAGAAUAUAGUAGGUGGUCAGAAUAUGCUAGUCAGAUGAAAGAAUGCAAGAGUGAAUAAAUGGAUGAAAGAAACUGACUUAUUGAGGUGGGGAGGGACUUUAUUGGGAAGUACUUAUUUAAUUUUUUUGGCCAUGCCUGCCACAUGUGGAAGUUCCUGAGCAAGGGAUGAAACCUGCACCACAGCAGCAACCCAACGCCAGAUCCUUAACCCGCUGUGCUACAAGAGAACUCCACCUUAUUUUUUUAAUAGUAAAGAUUUUUCUUUAAACAUUUAAAAAAUUGAACUGUAAUUCACAUACUAUGAAAUUCAUCCUUGAAGGUGUGCAAUUCAGUGGAUUUGGUAUAAUAUUCAUAAAGGUGUGCAACCAUCACAGGCUCUGAUUCCAGGACAUUUUCAUCACCCCUAAGAGAAACUUUGUAUCAUUAGUAGUCUCCUUCAAUUUCUCCUGGCAACCACUAGUGUACUUUCUCUUUCAGUGGAUUUUUCUGUUCUGGACAGUUCAUGUAAAUGGAAUCAUAUGGAGUUCCUGCUGUGGUGCAACAGGAUCGGCAGUGUCUUGGGAGCUCUGGGAUGCAGGUUUGAUCUCCGACCCUGCACAGUGGGUUAAGGAUCUGGCAUUGCCGCAGCUGCGGUUUUAGUUGCAACUAUGGCUCAGAUCUGAUCCUUGGCCCAUGAAUUUUGUAUGCAUCGGGGCAGCCUAAAAAACGAAAAAUAAAACAAAACAAUAAAUGAAAUCAUGAAAUAUGUGACACUACAUAUUUUGUUUCUGAGUUUUUUCACUUAGCAUAAUAAUAUCGUAGAGAUUUACCCAUGUUAAAGUACUUCUUUAUGGCCAAAUGAUAUUCCAUUGUAUGGAUAUACCAAAUUUUAUUUAUCAACACAUCAAUUGAUGGACUUCUGAGCUGCUUCCACUUUUUGUCUCAUGACUAAUGGUUGUGUGAACGUGAAAGACCAAGUUUUUGUGGACCUAUGUGUCUGUUUUCUUGGGCGUAUACCUAGUCAUCUCUCUUCUCUUCCUCCAAACCCCAAGCGAGCACUGAUUAUCUUACUGCCUCUAUAGCUUCUCCUGAGAGCCUUGUACUUGAAAUCACACACUGUGUAGCUUUGUCAGUCUGCCUUCUUUCACUUAGCAAUAUUCACAUAAGGUGUCUUCAUUUUUUUUUUUUUUCUCUCUUUUUCUUUUGUCUUUCUGGCUUUUAUAGGGCCGCUCCUGCGGCAUAUAGAGGUUCCCAGGCUAGGGGUUGAAUCGGAGCUGUCGCCACCGGCCUACACCACAGCCAUAGCAAUGCGGGAUCUGAGCCGAGUCUGCAACCUACACCACAGCUCACGGCAACGCUGGAUCCUUAACCCACUGAGCAAGGCCAGGGAUGGAACCCGCAACCUCAUGGUUCCUAGUCGGAUUUAUUAACCAUUGCACCAUAACGGGAAUUCCCUCGUGUUUUUUGUUUUAUAUUUUUUUGACUCCAUAGUUCAUUUCUUUUAAAUCCCUGGACAUAAUAUUCCAUUUUAUGGCUAUAUUACAGUUUGUCAGUUCACCUAUUGAAGGGCAUCUGGGUUGCUUCCACCUUUGGCACUUGUGAUUGAAGUUUCUGUAAACAUUCAGAGGCAGGCUUUUGGGUGGACAUAGAUUUUUCAGCUCAAUUGGUUAUAUACCUGAGACUGGAAUUGAUGGAUUGUAUGGAAAGAUUCUGUUGAAUGUUGUAGCAAAUUACCAGACUGUCUUCCACAGUGUCUGUGCCAUUUUGCAUCCCUGCCAGCAAUGAAUAUUGCUCUGCAUUCUCACCAGCUUUUGGUAUUGUUGGUUUUUUGGAUUGUGGUCCCUUUCAUAGGUGGGUAGUGGUAUCUCUUUGUUUAAAUUGGUAAUUUCCUGAUGACAGAUGAUGUUGAGCAUCUUUUCAUAUGUGUAUUUGCCAUCUGUAUAUCUUCUGUGGUGGGAUUUGUCCAUAUCUUUUGCCCAUUUCUUUGUUGGGUUGUUUUCUUAUUGUUGAAUUUUAAGAACCUUUUAUAUAUUUUAUAAUAAGUCCUUUAUCAGAUAUAUGAUUUGUGAAUAUUUUCUCCCAGUCUGUGGCUUACAGUGUCUUUCACAGAGCAGAAUUUUUAAUCUUAAUAAAUUGCUUAUAGAGGAACCUCCUCCCCUGAAAGUGCUGAGCUUUAUUUAGCCUAAUGUUAAAUACUUGCUGCCACUUGCCUGCUUCUCAGAAGAAGGCCUGCAGAGGAGGGCACUGAGAUUCACCUGCUCAAAGACUGAAUCAAGGUCUUGUAUGAUUCCUAAAGAGUCUCAGGGUCCUUUCCCUCUCCUGCAGUCCAGAUGCUGAGCCUGUAGCACAGUGGGAACCACUCUUACCUUCACUGAGUCUUCCAGUGGGCAUGUUCUAGGCUAGGUUUUUUAAGACCUUCUCUGUCACUAUAUCUCAUCAUUUUUUUUUUUCUUUUUUAGGGCCCUACUUGCAGCAUGUGGAGGUUCCCAGGCUAGGGGUUGAAUCAGAGCUUCGGCUGCUGGCCUGCGCCACAGCCACACCAGAUCGGAGCCUUAUCUGCAACCUACAUCACAGCUCACGGCAACGCCAGAUCCUUAACCCACUGAACAAGGCCAGGAUCAAACCCCUUGUGGUUCCUAGUCUGAUUCAUUCCCGCUGCACCACAAUGGGAACUCCCUCAUCAAUUUUUUUAAUCUUAUCAGAUUUUUUCAAUUUCUGAUCUGCUUUUGGCCUUCUUUCUUGCUUUCCAGCAACAUUAAGAGGUGUUUUUUGUUUGUUUGUUUGUUUGUUUUUUGGUCUUUUUGCCUUUACUAGGGCCACUUCCCUCCGCAUAUGAAGGUUCCCAGGCUAGGGGUCUAAUCGGAGCUGUAGCCGCUGGUCUACACCAGAGCCAUAGCAGUGCAGAUCCAAGCCAUGUCUGUGACCUACACCACUGCUCACGGCAACACCAGAUCCUCAACCCACUGAGCAAGGCCAGGGAUGGAACCCGCAACCUCAUGGUUCCUAGUCGGAUUCAUUAACCACUGUGCCAUGACAGGAACUCCCUUUUUUUUUUCUUUUUUUUUUUCUUUUUAACUCUCCUGACAUUAACAGUAACAGCAAUAGAAUCACCAAUAAUAAUAGUGAUUUUAGAAAGAUGUAAGGCAGAAGUGUAAAUAGAGAUAUGUUUGUUCUGAAUCAAGAUUACUUUUUGUUACUCAUAACUUUUAGCCUUUAGCUUUAUUAUUUAUAUAAUACAUUCUACUUGAUUUUGACAAUUUCUAACUUUUGCUGGUGCAUAUAUGCCUUUCGGAAAGUAUGAGUGUGUUUGGCAACCUUUUGGGGGAAAUUGUAUUUUUCCUUAAUGCAGUACUAACUAUUCAUAUAAAUUAGAAGAGAUGUGAGGAGAGGAAAUGGAAUUAGUAGUUUGAAGAUUGUUUUUAAAAAUGUGCCUGCUGGAGUUCCCAUUGUGGCUCAGUGGAUUAAGAACCCGACUAGUAUCCAUGAGGAUGUGGGUUCCAUCCCUGGCCUUGAUCACUGGGUUAGGAUUCAGCUUUGCCACGAGCUGUGGUGUGGGUCACAGACAAGUCUCAGAUCCUGUGUUCUGUGGCUGUGGUGUCGGCUGGCAGCUAUAGCUCCAAUUGGACCGGUAGCCUGGGAACUUCCAUAUGCUGUGAGUGUGGCCCUAAAAAGCAAAAAAAAAAAAAAAAAA